UGCUUGAAGGGCUGAGGCGCCGCCCGAGUCCCAACACUGGUAUGGUCUGAGCCGGACUCCACCCGGCCUGAGACCUGACGCUUGGCUUCCCCGUGACCUCCAUUGACAUCCACGACCCGCCCUGGAGGCACGGAAGGCUGUGGGGUUCCAGCCCUCCGAACUGUGCAGCUGAGGAAACUGAGCGCUUAACGGGGGUAGAGCCAGAUCCUGGGCGGGACCCUGGCCAGGAUGAACUCAGGCAGCCAGAGGGACCCCGGGAAGAUGGGAGUGAGAGCCGCCUUCCUCUGCAAAAGCCUCCAGGCACCGCCUCACUGGUGAAGGCCAGAGACCCUAAACUGUCCCACGACCACCUGACUGGGCUGCCUCCCCGCCACCUGGCUGCCACCUCUCUCAGCGCCAAGCUCUUCCUCCAACCCAAAGUUUCCUUCCCAGCUAAGGGCGUUUGCACCUGCUGCUCCUUUUGCCUGGAAGUUCACCCCAGACUAUUCCAGGGCUUCUGUCCUUCCCAUUGCGUGGUCCCCAUCAGCUGCCACCACCUCUGAGAGCUCAGCCUCCGCUGGCCCUCCUGUCUCUCAGGCCACUACACUCUCCACUCUGCCAGAAAGUCCCCCAAUCAGUGACAACACAGGUCACGGUCCACACCUCAUCUGGCUUGUCCCCGUGCCCAGCAUCUGGCACAGAGCUGGUGCGUGCAAAUCCUGGGCAGGUGGGUGAGCUGAUGGUGUCCAGAGGCCCCUGGUCCUUAAGGGUAGGGGUGGGGAUGUCUCAGAGGACAUAACCUUGCAGACCCAGGUUCAAAUCUGGGCUUAUCAGCUCAUUUAGUCCUCACACAGCCCAUACUGGGAGGGCUAGUAUUCUCUCUGUUUUGCUGAUGAGGCACAGAGAAUGUCAGCAACUCCCAAAGAUUGCCCAGCAAGUUGGGAGUAAAGCUGGUACAAUUCCCACAUUUAACUGCUAAAUAGGGUGUCCUGUACUUGGUGUGUUCAAGCAGAGAUCCACACAUGGGAAGGUCAAGGCAACAUCCCUGGUGCUCCAGCUUUGAGGUCCUAGGAAAAAGGGAACCUCCCGUUAAAUGCUUCUAUUGCCGGGAAGUUCAGCACCUGUAAAAGCAGCCCCUUCCCAUUUCAUUGUGGCUGCAUUUUAAUUCUUAUUUUUUUAAAUGUUUAGCUUCAGGCCAGGCACAGUGACUCACACUAUAAUCCCAGCACUUUGGGAGGCUGAGGCAGGAGGAUCACUUGAGCCCAGCAAUUCAAGACCAGUCUAGGGAGUUGGGAGCAAAGGAGGAGACUCCUCCUUGCCGGAUUCUUUUCGGUUCUCAGACAUUCACCGAGUGCUGACCACAUGCCAGGGACUUACACCCACCCACCAAGUCCACACUGAGCCCUGCAGAGGAACCCCUGACACCCCCGUUUUGCAGAUUAGGAAGCAGAAGCUAAGUGAAAACAGAGUCAAGAUUCAAACCCAGUCCUGGUGAAGCCAGAGCCGUCCAACUGCUGUGAGUGGAAGGGCCGGGCAUGAACAGGCUUGGGGAGAAUCCUGGGAUUUCAUAGCCGGAAGAGAGCUCAAAGUGAUCGUGUUUGACAGAGGAGAAAAUGGGGCCUCAGAGACGAUGGCUGAGCCUUGAAAAGGUGGGGUUAGAAACCAGGCCCAGUCUUCUGAAUUCCAGACUCCAGAAUCUCCCCCAGGAUUGAGGUAUGUUCCACAGAAAGAAUCCCAGCUCCACCUACCCCAGUCACUGGACCUGCCCUGCCCUGGAGGCAUGGCCAGGAGGAGGCCCCCAGCAGGCAGGGGAUUGCUGGAGGGGGCGCCGACCGUGCAGGACGGUCUAGACGGUGGUGAGGCCCUCUGGGUCUGGCAGGAUUAGCAGCUUAGCUCCAAGGAGGACAAAGACGAGGUCAGCGCUAAGUGGAUUUCUGGAAAGCCUCCUCCAGCCCAGCAGGGCCCUACAGGAGGGGCCCAGGCUAGGGGACCUAGAUCUAGCCACAGAGGGCAUGGGUGGGCUAAUGGCACCAGCAGCAGCUCUUGAGCCCCCAUCACUGCACUGCACACUUUCACCUCUCCUGGCCUCAGUUUCCCCAUCUAUAAAUGUCAUGGUAACAGCUCCAACCUCACAGGGCUCUUGGGAAGACCCCACAAGAUGGUGCCUGUCAAGUGUGGCGUUGCCUCUGCCUGCGCAGAGCAGGUGCUCAGUAGAUGUCUUUAUGACUGUCUUUUGAAUCCUCCUCCAGCCCUGAGGGUCAAACAAGAUUAAAAAGAGCUUGUUGUUUAGUGGUAAGUUAGGUAAACAGAAGCGGGGUGCAGGAGUAUACAUCUAAGAAGAGAGUAAGUGUGGGGAACAAUGCUCUCUGGGCCACCUCACAUCCCCCCUGUGCCCUGAUUUCAGUGGCAGUGGCCCAUUCUGAGCGAGCUUGGACCCUCCUCCUCAGUGCCUGCCUGCCUUGUGUACCAAGCCCCGAAGGGCAGAGGAGGGCCAGCCCUCCGCAGUGUGGCCGGGCUGUGGUGGAUACACCUGCCUCCCAUCUGCAGAAGGACCUUCCUCAGGUGUCCGGCACACUUCCCAGGAGGUCCUGAAACCAGCUGAGGCCUCGAUUACACACCUGUGUUGGCUCCCUCACCUGGUCAUCACAAAUAAACCACCUGCGCCCAUGUCCCCAUCUCAGGCUCUGCUAUCGAGGGAACCAGCGUAAGCAGCCAUGCCCCUGAUGCGAAGAGGAAGUAGGGCUUGAGGGAGGCCAGGACUCAGGGGGUUGGCAUGCAGGAGCUGCGAAGGUCAUUUUCAUGUCCCUCCUUCCCCGAGUUUCAUGAAUGCAACCAUGCUACUAUGAUGAUGCAAUUUUUGUUUGUGUAUUAGUGGUGCCUAUGAAACCUGCUCUCUCUGCGCA